AGGACGAACGCUGGCGGCGUGCUUAACACAUGCAAGUCGAGCGGAAAGGCCCUUCGGGGUACUCGAGCGGCGAACGGGUGAGUAACACGUGAGCAACCUGCCCUUAGCUCCGGGAUAGCUCCGGGAAACCGGAAUUAAUACCGGAUACGACCACGGCCGACAUCUGCUGUGGUGGAAAGGAUUCCGGCUAAGGAUGGGCUCGCGGCCUAUCAGCUAGUUGGUGGAGUAACGGCCCACCAAGGCGACGACGGGUAGCCGGCCUGAGAGGGCGACCGGCCACACUGGGACUGAGACACGGCCCAGACUCCUACGGGAGGCAGCAGUGGGGAAUAUUGCGCAAUGGGCGAAAGCCUGACGCAGCGACGCCGCGUGGGGGAUGAAGGCCUUCGGGUUGUAAACCCCUUUCAGCAGGGACGAAGCGAAAGUGACGGUACCUGCAGAAGAAGCGCCGGCUAACUACGCGCCAGCAGGCCGC
rnacentral:rRNA from 1 species